rnacentral:rRNA from 1 species
UACAGAGGGGGCGAGCGUUGUUCGGAAUUACUGGGCGUAAAGGGCGCGUAGGCGGCCUUCUAAGUCGAACGUGAAAUCCCCGGGCUCAACCCGGGAACUGCGUCCGAUACUGGGAGGCUUGAAUCCGGGAGAGGGAUGUGGAAUUCCAGGUGUAGCGGUGAAAUGCGUAGAUAUCUGGAGGAACACCGGUGGCGAAGGCGGGUCUCUGGACAGUUCCUGACACUGAGACACGAAGGCCAGGGGAGCAAACGGG